rnacentral:rRNA from 1 species
GAUGAACGCUGGCGGCGUGCCUAAUACAUGCAAGUCGAGCGAACAGACGAGGAGCUUGCUCCUCUGACGUUAGCGGCGGACGGGUGAGUAACACGUGGAUAACCUACCUAUAAGACUGGGAUAACUUCGGGAAACCGGAGCUAAUACCGGAUAAUAUAUUGAACCGCAUGGCUCAAUAGUGAAAGACGGUUUUGCUGUCACUUAUAGAUGGAUCCGCGCCGCAUUAGCUAGUUGGUAAGGUAACGGCUUACCAAGGCAACGAUGCGUAGCCGACCUGAGAGGGUGAUCGGCCACACUGGAACUGAGACACGGUCCAGACUCCUACGGGAGGCAGCAGUAGGGAAACUUCCGCAAUGGGCGAAAGCCUGACGGAGCAACGCCGCGUGAGUGAUGAAGGUCUUCGGAUCGUAAAACUCUGUUAUUAGGGAAGAACAAAUGUGUAAGUAACUAUGCACGUCUUGACGGUACCUAAUCAGAAAGCCACGGCUAACUACGUG